AUGCGUUUACGUCCCAUGCUGCUCCGAAGGCUCCUGGUGCUGUUUGGCUUUCUGGAAACUAUAGAAAAGAUCCAAACAUGCAUUCUUCCCAAGCAUGCAUUUAUGUUGGACGUUGGGGAUUUACGACAAUCUGGCUGGAUCCUCUCCCUCAGUUCUUCCCCUAGGGGUUUUGAUGGCUUGGUUUGCGAUCGGUGGAGGAUGGGCAAUUCUAGGAAGGAGCAUGCAAAGGACCUCCUAGGCUGGCUGAAUUUGCAUGAAGUAGAGCAAGAGAGGUUCAUUCGGGAGGAGGAAAUACUUUAG
rnacentral:rRNA from 1 species